rnacentral:rRNA from 1 species
UAUCACUAAGCGGAGGAAAAGAAACUAACCAGGAUUCCCUCAGUAGCGGCGAGUGAAGCGGGAAGAGCCCAUCGCUGAAUCCCAGGUUCCGACCGGCUCCCGGGAGUUGUGGCGUGAGGCGGCUUCGGGCGGGCGAGUCCACGACGCCGAGGUCCUCCUGAUCGGGGCACCUUACCCAGAGCGGGUGUCAGGCCCGUUCGGGCGUCGGGUCUCGCUGGCCUGGAGCCACCAAGAGUCGGGUAGUUUUGGAAUGCUGCCCAAAGAGGGGUGGUGAACUCCAUCCAAGGCUAAAUACUGGCACGAGACCGAUAGCAGACAAGUACCGUGAGGGAAAGUUGAAAAGAACUCUGAAGAGAGAGUUCAAGAGGACGUGAAACCGCCAAGAAGCAAACGGGCAGGACCCGCGGCACGGGCCCGUGGAGAUUCAGCGCAUCGGUUGUCGUCCCGGCCAGGUUUUUCGGAUCCGCAAGGACCGUGCCUGGUCGGGCGGCGGCGGUCGAUGCGUGCACUUCUCCCGGGCGCGGCGCUCGGGACCGGCAGCCCAGGUCGGCCGAAGGCGCCGGUGCAGGUAGCUCCACCAUCCGGGUCCUUCGGGGCCCGGUGGAGAACUAAUAGCACCGGCUUUGCAACGCCGGCCGAGCUGCCGAGGAAGGGACGCGAGCCGCGCCCGCCCCGUUCGCGGGGCUGCGCCUCCCGUCCCCCGCAGGCCUCCCCAGCGUUCACUGUACUCAGUGGUCGUCGAGGGACGGCAGGCGGUGGGAGCGGAGAGGCGGCACGUGGCGCCUCGGGUCGCCGAGCGAAGCUGGGCGCCUGCUCGACCCGUCUUGAAACACGGACCAAGGAGUCUAACGGGCCCGCGAGUCAAGGGGCCACUCGAAACCCCACGGCGCAAUGAAGGUGAAGGUCGAUUCGGUCGACCGAGGUGGGAUCCCCCCUUUCGCGGGGGGCGCACCACCGCCCCGCCAUAUCCGCACUGCUCGGUGUGGCGGAGGCAGAGCGGGCACGCUAGGACCCGAAAGAUGGUGAACUAUGCCCGAGCAGGAUGAAGCCAGAGGAAACUCUGGUGGAGGUCCGCAGCGAUUCUGACGUGCAAAUCGAUCGUCCGACUUGGGUAUAGGGGCGAAAGACUAAUCGAACCAUCUAGUAGCUGGUUCCCUCCGAAGUUUCCCUCAGGAUAGCUGGCGCUCAAUGCAGUUUUAUCUGGUAAAGCGAAUGAUUAGAGGCCCUUGAG